GCCUUCUGGUCCGCCAUAUUGAGGAGGUCGCGGAGAUUCUAUUUAUUUAUUUAUUUAUUUUCCCCUUCUUCUCAGCCCCGCCCCCUCUCCGUUUGUUAGACCGCGCGGUGUUGACUUCUGUAUCCUCCCUGGCACGUGGUAGGCAUUCUGUAAAGUCGCGUCGAUUUAAUGGAUGAAUUGGUAAACGGUCAAAGACAAGCCACUUGCGAGCGUAGAGAGACGCUGUCUCUCGCCCUCUCUGUACUUGGGGAGCGACAUGUGUGAUCAGUUUUAUUUGGGUCAUGGAGUAGACCCUGCCCCGAGUUAGGUGUGCUGAGGGUCGCCGACAUGGAGCAGCAGGUGGGUGCGGGCCCUGCCCUAGGACAGACACUGGUCCUCAAGGGGCCCAGGACUAGUCGGGGACGCGGCGGCCGAGGUGGAGGCAGAAGAGCUCAAUGACCGGGGGCUCGGGUGGGCACUUGGGGCUUCCCAGGAAGACCGCGUGGCUGGUUAGUGGGUUGCCAUAGAAUGGAUGGGUAGCGGAAGACCCCCAGUCCCACAGUCCUCUUGUCAUCAUCACGUGUAGACUGUGGGCUCUGGAGCCAGGCAGUUUGAUUUCAGAUUCCAGCUCCACAACUAUCAGAUGUGUGAUCGUAUCCAAUUAACAUUUCUGGCCUGUUUGCCAGAAAGCCUCAUAGGGUUGCUGUGAAGAUUAGAAGAGGCAAUUUGUGUGCGGGGCUUAGGACAGUGCCUGGCACACACAUACUGCGCACCGAUCCCGCGUGUUCGCAGCACCGCGCAAAUGCGCAGCCCUGCACAGGCGGGUGACGUGCUCACAUUGAAGGCUCUUGGCAGGAACCCCUCGAAGGCAGGCAAGGGAAAUGGUGGCAAAUGGAAAUAGAGCUGUAGUUCGUGGUCUUCCUCCCCCCUUCCCUUUCCCCUCCUUCCACAUCUCCAUCAACUGCGUUUCCCAAGCUGUCUUGCCAGCCUAGUAGAUUCCAGUAGUUUCUGCCCCUCCCCUUCCCCCAGCACCCUCCUCCCUGGGAUCUCUGACAGCUUUACCCAGCAAUCCCGCCUGGCCCCCUCCGGCUGUCCCUCCCUGGGACCUGGGUACGGCUCCUGUCAGGGUUCUGCAUGCCUGCCACUCGCUCGGUAAAAGUACAGCCUGGCUUGGUCAGGCUUGCGUACUUGGCCUCCCCAUCUCCCCAACUUAGCCGCUCCCAUGUGGUGCGAUUUCUCUCACCAAGUGUUGUUUUCCUUUUCUCUGCCUGUGUUUGCACGGAAUGCCAUGAAUUUGAUAUAGUGAUUGCCUAACACAUAGACCACAUAAUAGUAUUUUAUUUCUUUCUGAAGCACUGUUUGCAUGACAAAUGAGUUGGUAACAUUUGUGCAACUCCUUGCAGCUGUGCAGUUCGAUAUAUAAAGAGUGAGCCUUUCGGCAUCAAUACUGGCCCUGUGUGUUCUAAGAGGGCUUGCAACUGAUACUUAAACAAAGUUAACAUCCCAGCGUUUCACAGAGUUACGGUCUGUUUCAUCACAAUGGAUCUCAGGGCGAUUUAAAAAUAUGGACUGAACCCAAGUCAGCCCCAGCGGCAUGCAGAGCGGGCUCUGCCAGCAUCCUGUGCUCAGGGACACUGCUGCAGCUGCUCCCCACGCCCAGGGCCGGAUGACCCACGACCCUCUCCCCAACCUCCUUGUUUUCCCUCAAGCCUGAAACCACUCAGGGACCUUUAGCCACCCAUGAGCCCACAGCAGGUGCUGCCUUCAAAGGUCUCUUCUGGCUGAAUCUAAUAGAUGUUGGGUGAGGCCAGCCGGUGGCCUGGUGGUUAAAGUGGCUGGAUCUCAUAUGAGCGACUGUGGGGUUCGAGUCCCAGACUCAGCAGCUUGAAAAGAACACAGCAGGGGCAAGUGCCUGAACUCCCAAGAGGAGAAUGGAGGAGGGAUUGUGAGGUGGCCAUCCCCUCUGCAGGGUGCUUUCUCUCUUCUUCUCUCGUGUGCUCUGUCUCCCCCAGCACAUACUCCCUAUAGCAAAUUAAAAACAAAAACAAACCACAAAAACAGGCCUUAAGUGCAGUGAUCAGCAGGCGCUCAGGACCCAGGGGCUCACAGCUUACGUGCCCAGUGGUUCUCCCCUCCCCUGCUCCUUCCUCCUCGGUCAGUCCCUCACCUCUCCCUCCUGGGUCUCAGACCUUUCCGUUUCCUCCAGCCCUGCCCCUUCCCUGGAUUUAUACCCCCUCCCAGGGCUUCCAUCAACACUGCUCAUCUCCCCCAGGCCUUUUGACCCAAUUUCAGGAAGCUGGUUUGUUACUUCUUACUUCGUCCAGGAGACCCACUUGCCCUCAGAAGGGCCUGGCCUCCGUGCAUCUUGAUGACCACUGCUGCCGCUUGCUGGGAGCUGCUCCGAGGCCCUCCAGGGGCUUCUCGAAGUUGGCCUUUCUGCAUCUUCAAAGUGACUGUCCUGCUGAGCCUAUCUGGGGGGAAGGCAUAUUUUGCAGGAAAGGGUAAGAUCCAAAGUCAACAGCUGCCCUGCAGGCCCUCCUUCCUCAUCACUUUGUUGUGGGUUUUUUUAAGGUGAGCAGCUCCGCCUGCGGUCGGUCUUCCUGAUUUAUUAAAGGCAGAAGAGGAAAAACCAGCUCCAGUGACUAAAUCUACUUAGUAACCACAUCCACACAUUUAGCAAGGCAAGGGGCUGCUCGGAGCGUGCUCUGGAUUCCCGGAGGGCCGCCAUGCGGCCUUCCGUCCCGCUGACCUCUCUCUGUCUCAGCAGAGCCUUAGAAUAAUAACCACCAUAAAUCUUUUAGUGGCUUCCAUUCUCCUUCUCCUCCUGCAAAAAGCCCCGCGCACAUCUAUCAGGUCCUCAGAGAUGCUCGGGGACCGUGGACCUGUCCUCGAGCCACCCCGUUUCGGGCUUCUUACAUCCCUCUCAGCUAUUCCAGGCUCCCCUCAAACCACGUGGUGGUGCGUGGCAGCACACUGCAGGGUGUGGGGCUCUGGGAGAGGGUGGCUGAAAAGUGGGUGUCGUUUUGGGUCAGAUUUCAACUGGAAUAAUCCCAAGAGCAUCCUACUUCUUGCUGCCUCAUCUCGGUGCCCAGAGAAGAUGAAGUCCCCUUGACAGCUUUCUCGAGGUUUGGGGGUAUGUCAACAAAAGCGACAAAGAGAGACACAGUGUCUCUCACACUUCAGUGUCUGGACAGGAGCAGCUUCAGACGCGCGGACUGCCGUACCCAAUGUCAAUAACACGUCGUGCACGAAGAAAGCUGUAAUGCUUCCAGAACGUUUUCUUUUGGGCUUUGUCCAUGAUUAGAUUAUACCAAAUUACAGAGUACAGAUAGCAGACAAUUACUCCUUGCUUUUAACUAUUCAAUUUCAUGGCGAAUCCACAUCGCUCAGUAAUUAUAAAAUCACACCGAUGUGGUUACGAGGAGGGACCUCAUCAUCUCCGUCUUGUGAGCCGGGUUCACGCUGCCCUGUAAUUGCCUGUGGUCCUGUUAAGUGUAAAGUACGAUCCCAACCAAGAUGGAAUCAUCCGGACUUCUUUGUAACUGCCGGGUAUCUGGAGAGAUCCGUGCAGUUGGCUGGAUAAAACUCAGCGAGAUGCAAGGAGGAACGGGCUGUGCAUGUCCCAUAAGCAAUCCAGUCUGCUGUCCUGGAAACUGGAGGAGCUUGCUGACAAAAAAGAAUUAUUUGAGCUGAUUGCGAGAAAUCGAACAGCGGCAGCAGUUGGGAAACUGAUAAGAAAGGAGCCGACACAUCCAAAGCGGCGGCCGGGGCACUGUGCAUGCAGAUAUAAUGGGCCCUUCUGCAGCCGCGCUCUCGCCAUGUAUUACCGACGUCUUGGCAGCAUUUCUGGAAACCUGCAGCUGCUCUGGGCCGAUCAGUACGUGCCCUGGAAGUGUGAACUUGCAACUCGGCAGGGACUGGGCCCCGUGGGAGCUCUGCAUGUUCUUCCCGAGAAUUCAGAGCACCCCAGAUGACGGUCCUUGUUCAGGGUUGGGGUCUCCUUGUGCUGGUAACCACUUUGGGUGGCUAAGCCCUCCCGGUGGUCAGGGUGGGUGGAGAUAAGAAAUGGCACUGUGCCGAUUGCUGGUAACCUAUGGAGGAGCGGGCCUGGGGUUCAUAGAUGGCCCUGGUUUAUAAAUAAAUGAAUGUUCAUGAACGUAAAAUUAAAUUAGGAUGAAAUCUCCCCUCCAGUUUUGUUUAGAAGGCAGAAAUAAGUGGGUUGGCUGUGUAAUUUUGCUGCAGAUGCUGGGGCGCGUCGUCACAAGGUGGUAAUAAUAAUGUAAUUUGCUGGUGCCGCCGUCCGGGUCUCAAGGCAGAUAUUACUGCCCUGCCUUUGCCAAGGCUCAUUGAGGUUAAAGGGCUGCUUGCAAGUUACUCAGCAAGGGGUCGAGUGCAGAGACCUUAAAAUCCUCUGGCCCGUUAGAGUAAACAGAAAACAGACCCCAUAGAAGAGAACUGAACUCCUGCCCUCAUCUUGCCGCUGGCUCAGUGAGUGGACAAAACACACCAUCCAGGUAUUUUGGGGGCCUCAGUUCCCUCACUUGUAAUGGAAGGGCCGGCUCCAAUCUACAGCCCGAUCCGAGUUAGUAUUCAAACCUGAAACUUAUAAAAGACACUCAUUUCAGUAACAUGGGCACCUUUUAUGGCCAGCUCCC